rnacentral:rRNA from 1 species
AGUGAACGCUGGCGGUAGGCCUAACACAUGCAAGUCGAACGGCAGCACAGUAAGAGCUUGCUCUUACGGGUGGCGAGUGGCGGACGGGUGAGGAAUACAUCGGAAUCUACUUUCUCGUGGGGGAUAACGUAGGGAAACUUACGCUAAUACCGCAUACGACCUACGGGUGAAAGCAGGGGAUCUUCGGACCUUGCGCGAUUGAAUGAGCCGAUGUCGGAUUAGCUAGUUGGCGGGGUAAAGGCCCACCAAGGCGACGAUCCGUAGCUGGUCUGAGAGGAUGAUCAGCCACAGUGAAACUGAGACACGGUCCAGACUUCUACGAGGGGCAGCAGUGGAGAAUAGUGGACAAGGGGCGCAAGCCUGAUCCAGCCAUACCGCGUGGGUGAAGAAGGCCUUCGGGUUGUAAAGCCCUUUUGUUGGGAAAGAAAAGCAGCAGGUUAAUACCCCGCUGUUCUGGCGGUACCCAAAGAAUAAGCACCGGCUAACUUCG